rnacentral:lncRNA from 1 species
GGGAGACAGUGCUAGUAUUUUCCCAGUUUCACAGCUGGGAAACGGAGGCUCUGAGACGCUGAGUGACUUGUCCAAGGUUCUGAGACUUGGAAGGGCAAUGUUGACAUUUGGAUCCAGGACUCCGAAAGCGUGUGUGUACAACUACCAUGCCACCCUGCCUGCCCAGCCUCUAUCCUGAAGAGCGUUGGACCCUGGAGCUGCUGGCCACAUCUUGAUCUGCCAUAUGUGGUCCAAGAAUGAAGUCAACACGAAGGAGAAUGAAGGUGCUGAGGGAUAAAGUUAUUGACAUUCUAGGAGCUCCUGGAUCAAACCAUGCCUGAACUCAAUUUAUCCCUUGAACUUUUCAAUUACAUGAAUAAAUCCUCCUUUUGCCUGAGUCAAUGUGGAUUAGUAUCAUUGGCAUUCAGAAGAUUCCUAAAGUCUCAGGUCUUCUGCACAUCUAUAACCAUGGCAAUUGCGGUCCUGCUCUCCUUUCCCCUCCCCUGAGCAGGCAAGCUUUCCUUCUCUAUCAUGUAAACCUCCUGGGUCAUUCAGAGUAUUUCUCAAAUGUUACCUGGAGUUUCCCAAGACUUCAGUUCUCACUGACCAUUUACUUCUUAAACUGCUAGGAUGAUAACCUAUAACUUUGCAUCUAACCAAUCCCUUAGCACUUUCCUUAGAGACUUCUUAGAGAUCUUUUUGAUGCCUAAGGGUAGGAAUCAGGGCUUCUCUAUCUUGUAUAUGCACUGCCCCCCACCCACAGGUCCAUAGAAUAACAGCUGAGGACCUGUAGCUCUACAAGGGCAGGGACUGUCAAACAUGCCAGACUGCACAUGGUAGUUACCACUAGAGGGCUCUGGGUAUGGGCAAUAAGCAGGACUUCUGCAUUUUACAUCUAUGCUAUCAUUCGAGUCUUGUAUGAGCAUUUAUUUUACAAAUCUCUAUCUUGCAAAGCAAACCCUUAGUGUGAAUAACUGAGGAGUGGUGGAUCGGCCAGCUCUUCCGUGCAGUGUUCUAAAGCCUCUUGCUCCUGUCUCUCCUGUGGGAAACCCAUAGUUACGGCUUCAAGCAGAGACCCAAGCACCACCUCAGGGUCUUGACCUUGUGUGGGAAUAAUCUAUCACCAAGAUGCAGACAGAGACAAACUGCUUCACAGAGCAUUUUAUCCCCUAGAAAAUCCCCAACCCCAGCAUCCUGGGUGCUGCCCAACCUCUUCAAAUACAAAGGCAAAUAAAAUAAAUAAAAGUAAAUAUUGUACUCAUAAGCAACAGAAUGCCUAGCAACCAAGAACAAGGGAGGGCUGGAGGAAGAAGGUUGACUUUCGCAGGCCCUUGUGUAUAAACUGCAGUAAAAGUCUUCUCUGUGUGAAUAAUAUAUUUUUGAGCGUUAAAUUAUAGAAGGUGUAAGGAAUGCUAAGGCUGAGACCCAACAGAGAGAGCUGGCCCCACCCUGAAUGGGAGGGGCAGGGGUCUCCUUGGUCUUUGUCCCUGCUGACUGGUAUUGAGGGAGGGGGAGUCUCCGCUGUAGCUUCAGGAAUGGAACACAGGGCACCAGGCCUCAGUUAAUCCCUUUAGGGACCCUUAGCCCUGAAACAAUGCUGGUGCAACCCCACAUGUAACUCAGAAGAAAAUGUUAAGUCACGAAAUAAAUGUAAGAGCUCUGAUGUUUUUCUAUAACACCCAUUUCAAUGCUUUGUUAGAAAGUAUGUACGUAAAGCACAUGACAUUGUUCUCAUUAAAUUUUUUUGUUACGAAAACUUUUAAACACACUCAGAAGAGUAGGAUUUUUGAACCUCUCAUCUGGGUACAAUAUUAUUAAAAUUCUGC